UAGCUCAGUGGUAGAGCUCGUGCUUAGCAUGCACGAGGUCCUGGGUUCAAUUCCCAG
rnacentral:tRNA from 1 species